GCACGAGCUCAUUGUCUGAUUUCAUCGGCUGUUUUGCCACAGAGGAUCCGCGGACAUUCCGGCCAUUGUCCCCGGAAUAUUCAAGGCCAAAUACCCGUUCACGGCCAUUCGAGUUCAGAAUAAUAACAGCAGUGUUUGGAAAAACAAAUAACAAUAUGAAUCAUAACAGCUUCUAUUUCCGUACAGACGGACGGCUGCAUUGGACAUAAUUAAUUUAUCUUCCCCAACAAAACAUGAAGACAAAUGGAUCGUUUGUAUUGUUGUUUGACAGGAAAUGAACAAAGGUGGCAUUUCCUUGUGAAAAUUGCUUCACACCUGUGUUGUAUGCAAUCCACCAACCAGGAUUGCUGGGCAAGAUUCCACAAUCCCAGUUGGGGAACUUGACUCCACAGUGGCGGAAUUGCGCAAUGCCGAGCAAUUCCGACUGGUGGACAACAUGCAACACAGACCUACCACUUUGUCCUGUUCAUUGGGCUGGGCGUCCUGACCGGAGUUCCCGUUGACCCUCUUGUAAGCCGCGUCCAUCUUCUCUGGCGUGCAGGUGCCACCAGAGGGCGGUGGAGGACUAAGCAUGAGAUGCACAGGUGUCCUUUUGGAUGGAUCAAUAGGAGACUGGCCACCAGAGGGCGACAGUCGUCCACCACUGGUGUCCUAUUCCCGCCCCCCCCCUUCUAAUUCACAGCAGCCCCUGUUGCCGUGGCGACACUGAUCUGAGCAGGUGAUGCAUUGACAGCGAGCAGAUGGUUCCCUGCCGAGAUACCGGGAGUUCAACAAAAACCAUCCCCUUGAAAAAUCACCUUGGUUGGAUCGGAUGGCAAAGAAAACUUGCCAAGCAAAAGCCAGAACCCAAAGACCAGCACCGCAGCAUCACCAUGGUUGGAUGAAAGGUG